AUAGAGAUUGUGUACAUUCUGACCUGUCUGAACCAGAGCAACAGAUAAUUAUAUAUGUGCAAAGGCUCUUUUAGAUCGGGGCGAACAACAGGGAGAGAAGCCAUUUUCUGUGUCUCCAUAGAGCUGAAAGAAAUCUCAAAUAUUUCUGGUUGUCUGCAGAACAGCUGGUAGGUGGAGAGGCUUUGGAUGUAAUCUUCCUGGCCAUACACUGCUGCCUGCCGAAAAUUGGCUUCCCUUGGGCCUAAGCUGAAGAAGUGGUGCUGAAGACCCUGUGAGAGCAGUAGAGUCUAUUCAAGAGUGAAUAAGCAACAUAGGAUGGCAAUGGAGCCAGUGUGGUUAUCGGGGCUAUUUGAAGAAAGCACAUCAGCAACAAAGGGGAGUGCUGACUGCCUCUCUGGUGGACAGCAGUGCUGGCUGGCAGCAGGCACUUCUGAAGAGCUAAAGCGUGCCUAGCCUGUUCAUGUGUAAUUUCAUCCAGGUAUCCCAGUACUGGGCCCAGGAACUUGCGUGUAACUAAGGCACACCUUGCAGAAAGGCAUCCAGUCCUGAUUUGAAGACAUCAAGAUGGGGAAUUCACCCCUUCCCUUGGUAGUUUGUUACAAUGGUUAAUAAACCUCCUGGGUAAAAGGUUGUGCCUUAUUUCUAAUUUGUAUUUGUCUGGCUUUGGUUUCCAGCCGUUGAUUCUUG